GAGGUUACCGCUGCCUGGUUAACUAGAGCCGUCUGACACACCAACACCUCACACACUUGGCAGACGGACACACGGAGGUCGGUGUCAUCUCCAAGCACAGUGAAGCCGGCUGAAGUUUUCACUCAGCCGACAGACAGACAGACGGUUACAGUGAAUGACAGUGACAUGUUGCUGUCAGUAACAAGGAUUCAUCCUGUUGUGAUGCUGCAGGCUGACAGGAAAUCACUGUUACUGUGGGCGAGCGUCACACGAACGCACCCUGCUACUGUAGCCUGUCCCUCAGGUUUUGUGAUAUCACUCUGAAGAAACGAAGAUUUCAAAUAUUGAAUGAAUUUAUUUUUGCAAUUUCGCAGCACCAGGCACUAAAUAAUGAGUUUUAUGUUUGAAUAUUUGCAUGAAGGUGAGGAAUAAAGAACAAUAUCAGCUGUUGAUGUCA